AGCGAACGCUGGCGGCAGGCCUAACACAUGCAAGUCGGGCGGCCGUAGCAAUACGGCAGCGGCAGACGGGAGAGUAACACGUGGGAACGCGCCCUUCGGUUCGGGAUAACUCAGGGAAACUUGAGCUAAUACCGGAUACGCCCUUACGGGGAAAGAUUUAUUGCCGAAGGAACGGCCCGCGUCCGAUUGGCUUGUUGGUGAGGUAACGGCUCACCAAGGCGACGAUCGGUAGCUGGUCUGAGAGGAUGACCAGCCUCACUGGGACUGAGACACGGCCAAGGCUCCGACGGGAGGCAGCAGUGGGGAAUAUUGGACAAUGGGCGCAAGCCUGAUGCAGCCAUGCCGCGUGGGUGAUGAAGGCCCUAGGGUUGUAAAGCCCUUUCAGCGGGGAAGAUAAUGACGGUACCCGCAGAAGAAGCCCCGGCUAACUUCGUGCCAGCCGCCGCGGUAA
rnacentral:rRNA from 1 species